ensembl:processed_transcript
ACGAGCGGCUGCAGAUGCGCCUCUGAACGCGGAGGAAGGAGGAGGUUGUCAGUGCGAGGGACUCUUAAAUAGCUUCCCGACGGCUCUCACCUGCUGGAUUUUGCCUCAUUCGCAGGGCAAAACCUAAAUUUUUGGAGCAGCAUCCGUGAUUCUUUAUACAUCUGCGUUGGAGGAAGAAGAACACGCGUGCGUAUUUUCGUUUGCGUGGCGCGCGCUUUCCGGAGCACUGCGCUAUAGAUGAACGGAAUACAUGUCGCUUUAUCGCUCGGAAUGACUUGCGUUGAAACG